AGUGAACGCUGGCGGUAGGCCUAACACAUGCAAGUCGAACGGCAGCACAGUAAGAGCUUGCUCUUACGGGUGGCGAGUGGCGGACGGGUGAGGAAUACAUCGGAAUCUACUUUUUCGUGGGGGAUAACGUAGGGAAACUUACGCUAAUACCGCAUACGACCUACGGGUGAAAGCAGGGGAUCUUCGGACCUUGCGCGAUUGCAUGAGCCGAUGUCGGAUUAGCUAGUUGGCGGGGUAAAGGCCCACCAAGGCGACGAUCCGUAGCUGGUCUGAGAGGAUGAUCAGCCACACUGGAACUGAGACACGGUCCAGACUCCUACGGGAGGCAGCAGUGGGGAAUAUUGGACAAUGGGCGCAAGCCUGACCCAGCCAUACCGCGUGGGUGAAGAAGGCCUUCGGGUUGUAAAGCCCUUUUGUUGGGAAAGAAAAGCAGCAGGUUAAUACCCCGCUGUUCUGACGGUACCCAAAGAAUAAGCACCGGCUAACUUCGUG
rnacentral:rRNA from 1 species